UUUAAGUUACAUACCAGAAAAACCAUUUUAUAUAAUUUGCCAAAUAUACAUUUUUAUUAAAUCCCCAAAGUACGCUUGCUGAAAUACAAGUUAAUAUCACACUGAAAGAAUUUUGAUCAAUCAUGCUUCCCUGCUGUGAUUGUUUAACUGGGAAAACAACUUUUUCCACAGGAAGGCAAGUAAAUUUAAGGAAUACAUGUGCAAAGUUUUCCUCUGUUAUGUAUAAUGAUGACCCCCAUCAAACAUAAUGUUAGCAAUCUUUACACCUUUUAAUUUAUACUGAUUAUUUCUGUCAACAUGUGUGAAUUUGCCUUCAUUAGUUUCAGAAAAGAGCGAUGAUGUAUCGGUCAGUGGGCGGCAGCACGAGACUCCGCAAACUAGUCUGUAAGCAAAGCAGACGAAGGCAUCGAGGUUGCGGCCUGCCAUCAUUGUUAUUUUGCUUAAGGGACUGAAUAUGUUUCAUGCAGAAAUAUUAGCAUUUCCCUUAUAUCUACCAAAACUGCUUGUUUCACAGACUGCAGUUUUGUUUUGAUCCGAUGUGGUGUGCAAAUACAACCGUAUCUGCAAUGGGUUGUGGGGCAUUAACAUUUGUAACUCUAAUUUUGUUUUGACAGACUGUGAAAAGAACGUUGAGAACAUCACCACUCUACAGGAAGACACAGUCCAGUAAUGGGUGUCAGAAGUUCAGUAGUGAACGACAGGCAGUACUGAUGCAUUUACUGAGACGGGACGUGAGGGCCUACUCUGCGUGCUCAGAGUUCAAGCCCAGCAGGCUGCAGCGGUCCUGACAUAUUCUGGAACAGCAGCACAGUCUUUGGAUGACUCCUCUGAAGAUGAAAACAUGGCGAGUUCUUCUCAAGAGAAGCAGUACAGGUGUGCCUCAGCUCCACGCUCCCUCCUGCAACCUCCGCUCCUGAUGCUAACCUCAUGUCUCCAUCACACCAAGCAGCAGACCUGGAUUGACAGACCUUUCUCCAGAGCUGCCCCCUCCCUCUGAA